GGCUAACCUCUUCUUUUAGCUCAUUCAAGGAGGGCAGAGACAGACAUUUUUCUAAACAAGCGUGAUGGAAGGCAGACAGCCUCACGGCUCACAUUUCUUAUUUUUCUCUCAUUCUGUUCUCUGGUCAGCUUCUUCCAUGCUCUCCUCCACCCCCUCCACCCCUGGUGAUGAAACCUUGGCCCCUUUCAAAGGCCAGAAGUUUAUCAGCAUUAAGUCGCAUUCCUUGCAUAGCUACGGAGCCUACUAAGCUGCAGUGUGGCAUGUCUUGUGGCCUGGAAGGUUGCAAAAUCAACAGAGAAGAAAAACCCUUUGGUUAACAGAGUUGUCGAGCCUGUUAUGCUGAUUAUUGUCAUACCAAAGUGUUUCUCUGCACCGUGAACCAGCUAAUAUAAAGUGAACCUCUCUCUAAAAAACA